rnacentral:rRNA from 1 species
GGAGACUAGCAGGAUUCCCCUAGUAACGGCGAGUGAAGCGGGAUGAGCUCAAAUUUAAAAUCUGGCUGGUUUACUAGUCCGAAUUGUAGUUUAAAGAAGCGUUUUCGGUGGCAGCCUGGGUAUAAAUCCUUUGGAACAGGGUAUCAUAGAGGGUGAGAAUCCCGUCUUUGACUCAGUGCAUGCUACUAUGUGAUACGUUUUCAAAGAGUCGAGUUGUUUGGGAAUGCAGCUCAAAAUGGGUGGUAAAUUUCAUCUAAAGCUAAAUAUUGGCGAGAGACCGAUAGCGAACAAGUACCGUGAGGGAAAGAUGAAAAGAACUUUGAAAAGAGAGUUAAACAGUGCGUGAAAUUGUUGAAAGGGAAACGCUUGACACCAGUCAUGCGAGCGGAAAAUCAGUCUUUUGCAGUGGGGAGUUGUGUGGGUUCGGACCGCAAGGCCGGCCUGCGCUGCAUCUCUGCUGUAAGUGAUGCACUUUUUCGUUUGCAGGCCAACAUCAGUUUCUUCUGCUGGACAAAACUCUUGAGAAGGUGGCAGCUUAGGCUGUGUUAUAGCUCUUGAGCGAUACAGUGGAGGGGACUGAGGUUUUCGCAGCGCGUGCUCUCGGGCAAGGCUGAUUGGGUGCUAUGGGAUCGUUCGGUGUACAAUGCAUGCAUUUUGCGCCGUGUCUUUUCUAUACUCGCUCAACUCGGCUCUUCCGCGCUUAGGAUGUUGGCUUAAUGGUUUUAAUCGACCCGUCUUGAAACACGGACCAAGGAGUCUAACAUAUAUGCAAGUGUUUGGGUGGCAAACCCAUGCGCGUAAUGAAAGUGAACGUAGGUGCGAUCCGCAAGGUGCAGCAUCGACCGAUCUUGAUAUUUUUGGAUAGAUUUGAGUAAGAGCAUAUAUGCUGGGACCCGAAAGAUGGUGAACUAUGCCUGAAUAGGGUGAAGCCAGAGGAAACUCUGGUGGAGGCUCGUAGCGAUUCUGACGUGCAAAUCGAUCGUCAAAUUUGGGUAUAGGGGCGAAAGACUAAUCGAUCCAUU